AGUAUGAUGCAGCUGCCAGCCCCCGUGUGGCCUCACUUUUCACGGAUGGCGGCCUGUGUAUUGCACAGCAAAACAUCAACCCGCUUAAG
rfam:Erwinia iniecta strain B120 contig000001, whole genome shotgun sequence.